AUUGAACGCUGGCGGAAGGCCUAACACAUGCAAGUCGAACGAUUGGCGGACGGGUGUGUCAUGUCUUGGAAACUGCAUUAUGGAGCGGGAUAACUACUGGAAACGGUAGCUAAUACCGCAUACCAUCGGAUGUGCCCAGAUGGGAUUAGCUAGUAGGUGGGGUAAAUGCUCACCUGGGCGACGAUCCUUAGCUGGUCUGAGAGGAUGACCAGCCACCCUGGAACUGUGACACGGUCCAGACGCCUACGGGAGGCAGCAGUGGGGAUUAUUGCAAAAUGGGCGGAAGCCUGAUGCAGCCAGGCCGAGAGUAUGAAGAAGGCCUUCGGGUUGUAAAGUACUGUCAGCGGGGAGGCGUUACCCGCAGAAGAAGCACCGGCUAACUCCGUGCCAGCCGCCGCGGUAAUUC
rnacentral:rRNA from 1 species